rnacentral:rRNA from 1 species
UACGUAGGGCGCAAGCGUUGUCCGGAAUGAUUGGGCGUAAAGCGUCCGCAGGUGGCUGUGUAAGUCUGCUGUCAAAGAGCGAAGCUCAACUUCGUAAAGGCAGUGGAAACUACACGGCUAGAGUGCGUUCGGGGCAGAGGGAAUUCCUGGUGUAGCGGUGAAAUGCGUAGAGAUCAGGAAGAACACCGGUGGCGAAGGCGCUCUGCUAGGCCGCAACUGACACUGAGGGACGAAAGCUAGGGGAGCGAAAGGG